GACGUAGGGUGCGAGCGUUGUCCGGAUUUAUUGGGCGUAAAGAGCUCGUAGGCGGCUCGUCGCGUCGACCGUGAAAACCCGCGGCUUAACUGCGGGCUUGCAGUUGAUACGGGCAGGCUAGAGUUCGGGUAGGGGAGACUGGAAUUCCUGGUGUGCGGUGAAAUGCGCAGAUAUCGGGAGGAACACCGGUGGCGAAGGCGGC
rnacentral:rRNA from 1 species